CCGUGUGACUCUGCUGCUUUUAGGCUGCUGUGAUCUGAGGAAUUUUUAUUGUGGGAAGCUGGAUCCUGGUGUUGGGGAUUAUUUCAUCUCUGGGGAGAUUUCAGUCUGGGCUGGGUCUUUCCCCCGUGCUGCCCCUCCCUUCCAGGACGUGGUGGUGAGUGUGCUGGUAAUUUUGAUGGGGGAGUUCAGGAGAUGGAGCGCAACGUGAUUCAAGACAAAAGAGUCUCCAUUCUGAUUACUGCUCCAUUGUGUGACAGAGCAAAACAUUUCAAUGUGGUUGAGACUGAAUUUGAGUCAAGAAAAUACAAGUUGCAGUCCCUUUUCUUUGGGAACAUUUUCUUCGUGGUUCAGCAGGACAUGGAGGCUGAUGGUGCAUGAAAACAUAUCACAUUGAUCCAAGUAUGUAUGAAGAGCUUUUAAAACCAGACUAUGGAUUCUGUUUAAAGGAAAGCUCACAUGAUAGCAACAGUGACAAAUCGAACGAGAGAGAACAUAUUUGAGAGAGUUUAUCAAACAAGAGGAUGAGGUGGGUAGGAAGUUUAUGUAACCCAUGUGCCUAAUAGGGAGAUAUCUCUUUAAGAGACCUAUGUGGGGGAUGGGAGUGAGUUGUGUCUGGGUUAUUAUUGCUAGGCAGGAGGGAUAGCUCAGUGGUUUGAGCAUUGGCUUGCUAAACCCACGGUUAUGAGUUCAAUCCUUAAGAAGACCAUUUGGGGAUUGGCUCCUGCUUUGAACAGGGGUUUGGACUAGAUGACCUGCUGAGGUCAGUUCUAUUAGCCCUCCACAUCCAGAAACCUCUGGAUUUUGGGUGGGGUAAUUUGGGGUAUGCUUCAACAGACUCCAUAAGGGCAGCUGCUUUACAAAGGGCCAUGUGUGAGUUGGGAGAAGCUGAGCCAGGAAGCAGGUUGUUGUCCCUAACUCUGAAGCAUUUUGCAGCAGGUUAGUGAUAUUGUUUGCUCAUGUUUCCCUGUUUGAGGGUUAUGUUAAUAAUAGCAAGGGGAAAUUAGAAGGGAAAAAUAAUUUCUUCUAUUUUAAUUGUAUGCUUUGAAUGUUGUUUUGAUUUUAGCCAAACUGUUCUAGUUAAAUUGUCUCAACUAGUGCGAUUCAUCAACUUUCCUUUAAAUGUAGUAAUGGGGAAAGAGUCAUUUAUAUUUUGCUAUUCUCAGAUUUGUAUUUUCUUGUAACAGGGUUUUUUUUUUUUAAUCUACACUUAACUGAUUAAUCAGUUAGCUGACUGGCUAACAGUGAUUUCAGAAGAGGAACGGUCUGCAUGGAUUCCAAUUGAAGAUUCCUACAAGCAAGUAGAGGGAAGAUGUUGUUUUUUGACUCCACAGACUAGAUUUGGUGAUCAAAGACUCAAACUGAGAUUCAGGUGAACUCAGCCUACGCUUUUGGGAACUCUCAGUUUCUUCUCACUGUUUCGGUGGAGACUGAACUGUUGAGA